UAGAGGGGAUCCAGAUCUAAUACGAAGGGUGCAAGCGUUAUCCGGAUUCAUUGGGUUUAAAGGGUGCGUAGGCGGAACAAUAAGUCAGCGGUGAAAGCCCGUAGCUUAACUACGGAAUUGCCGUUGAUACUGUUGUUCUUGAGUACGCUUGACGUGGGCGGAAUGUGCCGUGUAGCGGUGAAAUGCUUAGAUAUGGCACAGAACACCGAUAGUGAAGACAGCUCACGAAGGCGAAACUGACGCUGAGGCACGAAAGCGUGGGGAUCAAACAGGAUUAGAUACCCUGGUAGUCCACGCCGUAAACGAUGAUCACUCGUGAUUGGCGAUAUACGGUCAGUCACCUAGCGAAAGCGUUAAGUGAUCCACCUGGGGAGUACGAUCGCAAGAUUGAAACUCAAAGGAAUUGACGGGGGCCCGCACAAGCGGUGGAGCAUGUGGUUUAAUUCGAUGAUACGCGAGGAACCUUACCAGGGCUUGAACGUGCAUUGACAGGGGCGGAAACGUCCUCUUCUUCGGACAAUGUGCGAGGUGCUGCAUGGCUGUCGUCAGCUCGUGCCGUGAGGUGUCGGGUUAAGUCCCAUAACGAGCGCAACCCCUACUGUUAGUUGCCAGCGGAUAAUGCCGGGGACUCUAACGGAACUGCCCGCGUAAGCGGUGAGGAAGGUGGGGACGACGUCAAGUCAUCACGGCCCUUACGUCUUGGGCGACACACGUGCUACAAUGGCCGGUACAGAGGGCAGCUACCACGCGAGUGGAUGCGAAUCUCGAAAACCGGUCUCAGUUCGGAUUGGAGUCUGCAACUCGACUCUAUGAAGCUGGAAUCGCUAGUAAUCGCAUAUCAGCCAUGAUGCGGUGAAUACGUCCCCGGGCCUUGUACACACCGCCCGUCAAGCCAUGGAAGCCGGGGGUACCUGAAGUCGGUGACCGUCAAAGGAGCUGCCUAGGGUAAAACUGGUAACUAGGGCUAAGUCGUAACAAGGUAGCCGUAAGCGUAUACAUCACGCUUUAC
rnacentral:rRNA from 1 species